rnacentral:rRNA from 1 species
GAUGAACGCUGGCGGCGUGCCUAAUACAUGCAAGUCGAGCGAACGGACGAGAAGCUUGCUUCUCUGAUGUUAGCGGCGGACGGGUGAGUAACACGUGGAUAACCUACCUAUAAGACUGGGAUAACUUCGGGAAACCGGAGCUAAUACCGGAUAAUAUUUUGAACCGCAUGGUUCAAAAGUGAAAGACGGUCUUGCUGUCACUUAUAGAUGGAUCCGCGCUGCAUUAGCUAGUUGGUAAGGUAACGGCUUACCAAGGCAACGAUGCAUAGCCGACCUGAGAGGGUGAUCGGCCACACUGGAACUGAGACACGGUCCAGACUUCUACGGGAGGCAGCAGUAGGGAAUCUUCCGCAAUGGGCGAAAGCCUGACGGAGCAACGCCGCGUGAGUGAUGAAGGUCUUCGGAUCGUAAAACUCUGUUAUUAGGGAAGAACAUAUGUGUAAGUAACUGUGCACAUCUUGACGGUACCUAAUCAGAAAGCCACGGCUAACUACGUGCCAGCAGCCGCGGUAAUACGUAGGUGGCAAGCGUUAUCCGGAAUUAUUGGGCGUAAAGCGCGCGUAGGCGGUUUUUUAAGUCUGAUGUGAAAGCCCACGGCUCAACCGUGGAGGGUCAUUGGAAACUGGAAAACUUGAGUGCAGAAGAGGAAAGUGGAAUUCCAUGUGUAGCGGUGAAAUGCGCAGAGAUAUGGAGGAACACCAGUGGCGAAGGCGACUUUCUGGUCUGUAACUGACGCUGAUGUGCGAAAGCGUGGGGAUCAAACAGGAUUAGAUACCCUGGUAGUCCACGCCGUAAACGAUGAGUGCUAAGUGUUAGGGGGUUUCCGCCCCUUAGUGCUGCAGCUAACGCAUUAAGCACUCCGCCUGGGGGGUACGACCGCAAGGUUGAAACUCAAAGGAAUUGACGGGGACCCGCACAAGCGGUGGAGCAUGUGGUUUAAUUCGAAGCAACGCGAAGAACCUUACCAAAUCUUGACAUCCUUUGACAACUCUAGAGAUAGAGCCUUCCCCUUCGGGGGACAAAGUGACAGGUGGUGCAUGGUUGUCGUCAGCUCGUGUCGUGAGAUGUUGGGUUAAGUCCCGCAACGAGCGCAACCCUUAAGCUUAGUUGCCAUCAUUAAGUUGGGCACUCUAAGUUGACUGCCGGUGACAAACCGGAGGAAGGUGGGGAUGACGCCAAAUCAUCAUGCCCCUUAUGAUUUGGGCUACACACGUGCUACAAUGGACAAUACAAAGGGCAGCGAAACCGCGAGGUCAAGCAAAUCCCAUAAAGUUGUUCUCAGUUCGGAUUGUAGUCUGCAACUCGACUACAUGAAGCUGGAAUCGCUAGUAAUCGUAGAUCAGCAUGCUACGGUGAAUACGUUCCCGGGUCU